CCUACGGGUGGCAGCAGUGAGGAAUAUUGGUCAAUGGGCGAGAGCCUGAACCAGCCAAGUCGCGUGAGGGAGUACUGCCCUAUGGGUUGUAAACCUCUUUUGUCGGGGAGCAAAAGCCGGACGUGUCCGGCUGUGAGAGUACCCGAAGAAAAAACAUCGGCUAACUCCGUGCCAGCAGCCGCGGUAAUACGGAGGAUGCGAGCGUUAUCCGGAUUUAUUGGGGUUAAAGGGUGCGCAGGCGGAUUUUUAAGUCAGCGGUCAAAUCGUGGGGCUCAACCCCAUCCAGCCGUUGAAACUGGGGAUCUUGAGUGCGCGGAAGGCAGGCGGAAUUCGUGGUGUAGCGGUGAAAUGCUUAGAUAUCACGAAGAACCCCGAUUGCGAAGGCAGCCUGCCGCAGCGUUACUGACGCUGAAGCUCGAAAGCGCGGGUAUCGAACAGGAUUAGAUACCCUGGUAGUC
rnacentral:rRNA from 1 species